rnacentral:rRNA from 1 species
GGCGACGACGGGUAGCCGGCCUGAGAGGGUGGACGGCCACACUGGGACUGAGACACGGCCCAGACUCCUACGGGAGGCAGCAGUGGGGAAUAUUGCACAAUGGGCSCWWGCCUGAUGCAGCGACGCCGCGUGAGGGAUGAAGGCCUUCGGGUUGUAAACCUCUUUCAGUAGGGAAGAAGCGAAAGUGACGGUACCUGCAGAAGAAGCGCCGGCUAACUACGUGCCAGCAGCCGCGGUAAUACGUAGGGCGCAAGCGUUAUCCGGAAUUAUUGGGCGUAAAGAGCUCGUAGGCGGUUUGUCGCGUCUGCCGUGAAAGUCCGGGGCUUAACCCCGGAUYUGCGGUGGGUACGGGCAGACUUGAGUGAUGUAGGGGAGACUGGAAUUCCUGGUGUAGCGGUGAAAUGCGCAGAUAUCAGGAGGAACACCGAUGGCGAAGGCAGGUCUCUGGGCAUUAACUGACGCUGAGGAGCGAAAGCAUGGGGAGCGAACAGGAUUAGAUACCCUGGUAGUCCAUGCCGUAAACGUUGGGCACUAGGUGUGGGGGACAUUCCACGUUUUCCGCGCCGUAGCUAACGCAUUAAGUGCCCCGCCUGGGGGAGUACGG